UCCCAAUUGGCUUUGGCAUAUAGAUCAGUAUGAUAAAUUGAGCCCUUUUGGGAUAUAUAUCAGUGGAUGCAUUGAUGGGUUUUCCCGCUAUGUGCUUUGGGUGGAAGCUGGUGUCAGCAAUAAAAACCCCAAAAAGAUUGCAGGGUACUUUUUGAAGACUUUGGAGAAUGUUAAAGGAUUUCCACAUAUUAUUCGAGGAGAUGCAGGAACAGAGAAUGGGACAGUAGCUGCCAUUCAAAACUUCUUGAGAGAAGAUGAUGAUGACUGCUUCAGCAAGAAAUCCUUCCUCUAUGGAAAAUCCACUCAUAAUCAAGGAAU